UGCAGCUGCCAAAGAACAGGCAUGACUUAGUACAUCAGUGUUAGACCUAACUGCAUUCAAGUGUUGAGUCUUGAUGGAGACUCAAGUCAAACUCUUUGCUAAUAUUGUCAUCAGAUUUCUGUGAUGUGCAUUGCCUGGGAUUAACACAGAGGUUUUUACUGAUGCCUUUCAACCUGAUGGAAAGCAGCCAGAAUUAGAGCUGAGAAGAACAUAAAGGACAGUACUCAUUGGAAUGUAAUCAAAUGCUAUGAAGACAGCAGGAUGAAGAAAUAUUUUCCAGAAUCUGGGUUCUCACCACUAUUAAGCCUUGCCUGGUGAUGGGACCUUCAUGUGGUGGAAGAUAACACCUUCACAUCUUGGAGGAACAUAGCAACAAUCCUAUUUUCCUCAAAACUCUCUCAACUUCCUGAUAUGCAAAUGCAGACUAUGGAAGAGUUUGGGAAUGUGGAGAACACGUUUGAAUCCCCUGGUGCUAUAACAAGUUCUGACUCAUCUGUCUACUUUUAAGGAUCAAUACCUUUGAGCAAAUACAUUCUGUAAAUUGAGCUAAAAUUGUGGAUACAUAUCUAUUUUCCUGGACGUUUAAUUGUAUUAGCCUUCUAAAUUGUCAGAAUACUAAACUAAAAACAUAAGUUUAUGUACAUACAUUCAGGACAUUUUCAGAUUUUCUGUGAUGACAAUGAUGAGAUUUUAUUUUUGUUACCUCUAUUUACAAACUCCUUUGUAGUAUACUUUCCCAAUUUCAUCUUACAAACCAAACCACCAAGAAGGUAAGUUUCAAAUUUUAUUUGAAAAGAAAUUAGGAAAAUUCCACUCAAUCUGAAAACUGCUAUGGCAGUUGUAUGAAGUUAUAGAAUCUGAUCAAUUACACUAUAAGAAAUUUAAAUUCAAGUGAUCGUAAAGGAAAUAAAUACUCAAAACACCUGUGAAACUUAGCAACUUUAUCACCGUGAAUAUUAUAGAAUCGAGAAUCAUCAAGGCUGAAAACUUCACCACUUCCCUGGGCAGCCUGUUCCAGUGCCUCACCACUCCAUCUGAGAAGAAUUUUUUCCUAAUAUCCAACCCAAACCUCCUCUAGCACAUUUUGUUCAGUGCCUCCAACAAUAAGUAACAUUCUAAACUUCUAAAGAGAAGCAAGAAUUUUUUCUUUUUUCUUUCCUUUUUUUUUUUUUUCCUUGACUAAACAGUCUUUCACAUUUCUGGAAAUAGUGUAUUGCAUAUGCAAAUUUUAGAAUUGAGAAGUUAUGACUAAUUUAGAAAUUAGAUGUAGUGUGAUCAGCCAGGAGUAAACGGCAGGAAUCUGGGGAAAAAAAUAACUGUGGGAAAAAAUGCAAGCUUUUUUUUUUUUUUUUGUCUGUGCAUGUAUUUUGCUUCUGUUUUCAAGUUAUCUUUAUUUGAUCCAACACCUGAAAAGAGCAAGUCUGAUUUUAUCAGCACUACUUGUAGCUCAUGCAAACCACAUUUACACCUAUAAAAAAACUCAGAAUAAUUAUUUCUUUCCUGUUUCUGGAAAGCCUUUCCAAUGUACCAGUCUUCACAUAUUUAGAUAUAUUUUUGUAGUUUUUACUGCUUUUCGGUGUUUACUUCUUAAGAAAGCUUUGAAAGUGAAAAUUUCAGUUAAAAUUAAAAAUAUAUUUUUAUUAAAUUUACUAUACUAGUAUUAUUCUUAAGUAUUAAUAAAUUCUGGGAGUUGGGAAGGGAAAGGACAAUAACUGUAGAAAUUGAAAAUUACUUAGUGGAAUCGUACAAUCCUGCUAUCAUUAAGGUUGGAAAAGACCUCUAAAAUUAUCUAUUCCAACCAUAAAGCCAAGGAAACCUAGGUCAAUAAUGAAAUGAUCAUAAUACUAAAAUGACCAAAUAUGCAAAUGGAAGUUUCAGGCAAAAAUAAAUAAAUAAACAAAGAAAUAAACAAAUGGAUAAAAUAAAAUAAAUUUUUUCAUAGGAAUAUCAGUUUUUGAAUUUCUAAGAAUAAUUUCAUUGAAAAAAAAUGCCAGCGAUUUCAAGAUUUAUGAAAUCAUUCACAUAUGUGAGAAUCGGGAAAGAUCUGUCUUCUUCAGUGUUGAACAGACUCAGCUCUACAUGAGGUCACUAUAAGCUUUAUAAGAGGUAAACAAAGCAGCUAUAUCCUUGUGGCUCUUUUCCAGACUGAAUGGGCUACUUUUUGAAAAACAUGACUACCAUGUUUUAGAACUUCACUGCUGCUCGUACACGGAAAUUUUCCACCUUUCUAAUAGUAACACUUUAAAACAAGAAUGCUAAAUUUGUGUUCCAGAUUUUUAUGAUGUUUAAGUAAAUGUAGAUACUGGGCUAAGGAGCAAAUAAACAAACAAAAAAAAACAAACAAUAAAAACAACAAAGGUCAUGCAGAGAAAAAUAUCUGCAUCUAUCAUUACAUUAGUAUGUGAUUAAGUGAGACCUAACUGGCAUUUGUUUCUCCUGUUUGAUUUAGUUUUGACCAGUCAUGAUGAAUCACUGCAGGAAAUAACAGGAUUAACUAAGUAAAAAUCACGAUGCAGCAUUCACUUUCCUUACUAAAAUAGAAGAAACAUUCUCAAGAAGCUUGUCAGUUUUUUGUUCAUUCAUACUUAUGACUGGUGCUAGUAGCAGAUGCUUGUGGAAAGAAUAUAAAAAUCAUAGAAAAUAAACAAGGCAGAUCAUUUAAAUUUGAAUAUUCAUCUUUUUGAAAUGUUUUUGGCUAAGUUUGGCCAAUGAAAUGUAAAUGAAUUGAUGGGGGAGAUGAAAAAUAACACAUAAACCAUCUGAAUCUUCCAUCUACUUAUGUAAACUUUCUAAUCCAUAAAUAUUUUUAUGUAUUUAUUUCUUGUUUAAACAAUUCUAGAAACAAAGAACUUAGCCGGAAUGUAUGUGUAUACACAUUCACAGUGGUCAUAGUAGGGUGAGGAAAAUCAGUGGUAUCUUCAUCUAGCACAAAGAUGAGAAAAAGUGUACCAGUCUGCUAGUUUGAGCAGUGAAUGUACAUGUUCACACACAUAUUUAAAUAAGACAAAGAGGUCAGAAACUGGCUGCAAAGGUCAGGCAAAUAAUUCUUCUACAAAGAGAAAUGGUUAAGGAACAGAAAUUGAUUUUCUGACAAAGGAAACCUUUCAAGAUCAUAGGAAAAUCUCUAUUUCGCUUUGUCUUCUUCAUUUGCAAACCAAACAUCCCCCAAAGGCCUUUAUGUGUUGGUUGAUUCUUUGCUGCAGUUGGCUUCUUUAUUUUGAAUUACUCAAAAAUUGAAGGGAAGAACCAAACCAAUAAAAUUCACAUAUUCAACUUAAAAUUUUGAAAUAGGACAUAAAAGAAAAUGUGACAUCUCCCCAUCUUUUCAAAAGCUGUUUGAGUCAUCUGCUUUAAAAUCUCCUGUUCUAAGGCAUCAGCCUGUGGGGUGAAAGCAGAAAGCAGGCUUUUGGAAAACUCCAUUGAAAUUCCAUUGAUGAACAAAUAACUCACUCACUUGGGCUUAGUCGAGGUCCUGUAUCAGCUACUUUUUUACAGUUCUUUUUAGGCUGCUUGUUGUUGCAGAAAAUGUGUCUUGCUGCAGUGUAACUGGGCAUUCAUCUGUCAUUACAUGAAUAUGAGUAUUUAUUUUAGUGAGUACUGUAAUUGCUGAAAUUUGGCCAAGAUUUGGGCUACAGAUUAAGUAGCUAUGGAUGGUCUUUAAAGCUCUGCUUCUAUCUUCCACAGAACUCAAAUACAGCAAUAUCACCCUUUUUGUAUGAGUGUGUUACACAGUGAGAUGAGAAGAAAAUGUGAUCAUUUUCAG